rnacentral:rRNA from 1 species
UGACAGCCCCGUACACAAAAAUGCACAUGCUGUGAGCUCGAUGAGUAGGGCGGGACACGUGGUAUCCUGUCUGAAUAUGGGGGGACCAUCCUCCAAGGCUAAAUACUCCUGACUGACCGAUAGUGAACCAGUACCGUGAGGGAAAGGCGAAAAGAACCCCGGCGAGGGGAGUGAAAAAGAACCUGAAACCGUGUACGUACAAGCAGUGGGAGCACGCUUAGGCGUGUGACUGCGUACCUUUUGUAUAAUGGGUCAGCGACUUAUAUUCUGUAGCAAGGUUAACCGAAUAGGGGAGCCGAAGGGAAACCGAGUCUUAACUGGGCGUUAAGUUGCAGGGUAUAGACCCGAAACCCGGUGAUCUAGCCAUGGGCAGGUUGAAGGUUGGGUAACACUAACUGGAGGACCGAACCGACUAAUGUUGAAAAAUUAGCGGAUGACUUGUGGCUGGGGGUGAAAGGCCAAUCAAACCGGGAGAUAGCUGGUUCUCCCCGAAAGCUAUUUAGGUAGCGCCUCGUGAAUUCAUCUCCGGGGGUAGAGCACUGUUUCGGCAAGGGGGUCAUCCCGACUUACCAACCCGAUGCAAACUGCGAAUACCGGAGAAUGUUAUCACGGGAGACACACGGCGGGUGCUAACGUCCGUCGUGAAGAGGGAAACAACCCAGACCGCCAGCUAAGGUCCCAAAGUCAUGGUUAAGUGGGAAACGAUGUGGGAAGGCCCAGACAGCCAGGAUGUUGGCUUAGAAGCAGCCAUCAUUUAAAGAAAGCGUAAUAGCUCACUGGUCGAGUCGGCCUGCGCGGAAGAUGUAACGGGGCUAAACCAUGCACCGAAGCUGCGGCAGCGACGCUUAUGCGUUGUUGGGUAGGGGAGCGUUCUGUAAGCCUGUGAAGGUGUGCUGUGAGGCAUGCUGGAGGUAUCAGAAGUGCGAAUGCUGACAUAAGUAACGAUAAAGCGGGUGAAAAGCCCGCUCGCCGGAAGACCAAGGGUUCCUGUCCAACGUUAAUCGGGGCAGGGUGAGUCGACCCCUAAGGCGAGGCCGAAAGGCGUAGUCGAUGGGAAACAGGUUAAUAUUCCUGUACUUGGUGUUACUGCGAAGGGGGGACGGAGAAGGCUAUGUUGGCCGGGCGACGGUUGUCCCGGUUUAAGCGUGUAGGCUGGUUUUCCAGGCAAAUCCGGAAAAUCAAGGCUGAGGCGUGAUGACGAGGCACUACGGUGCUGAAGCAACAAAUGCCCUGCUUCCAGGAAAAGCCUCUAAGCAUCAGGUAACAUCAAAUCGUACCCCAAACCGACACAGGUGGUCAGGUAGAGAAUACCAAGGCGCUUGAGAGAACUCGGGUGAAGGAACUAGGCAAAAUGGUGCCGUAACUUCGGGAGAAGGCACGC